rnacentral:rRNA from 1 species
CGAGCGUUAAUCGGAAUUACUGGGCGUAAAGCGCAUGCAGGUGGUUUGUUAAGUCAGAUGUGAAAGCCCGGGGCUCAACCUCGGAAUUGCAUUUGAAACUGGCAGGCUAGAGUACUGUAGAGGGGGGUAGAAUUUCAGGUGUAGCGGUGAAAUGCGUAGAGAUCUGAAGGAAUACCGGUGGCGAAGGCGGCCCCCUGGACAGAUACUGACACUCAGAUGCGAAAGCGUGGGGA